rnacentral:rRNA from 1 species
GAGUAUCAAUUGGAGGGCAAGUCUGGUGCCAGCAGCCGCGGUAAUUCCAGCUCCAAUAGCGUAUAUUAAACUUGUUGCAGUUAAAAAGCUCGUAGUUGAAUUUCUGCUGUAUCGUUUUCCUCUGCUUGACAGUUGGAUUUCGUUAUGGCUUAGUUGGGUUACAGCUCUUGUUACCCAACGUUUACUUUGAGAAAAUUAGAGUGCUUCAAGCAGGCUUUUGCCUUGAAUACUUUAGCAUGGAAUAAUGGAGUAGGACUUUGGUUCUAUUUUGUUGGUUUUAGGAGCCAGAGUAAUGGUUAAUAGGAACAGUUGGGGGCAUUCGUAUUUGACUGUCAGAGGUGAAAUUCUU